rnacentral:rRNA from 1 species
UAAGGAAUAUUGGUCAAUGGACGCAAGUCUGAACCAGCCAUGCCGCGUGGAGGAUGAAGGUCCUCUGGAUUGUAAACUUCUUUUAUCUGGGACGAAACACUCCUUUUCUAAGGGGCCUGACGGUACCAGAUGAAUAAGCACCGGCUAACUCCGUGCCAGCAGCCGCGGUAAUACGGAGGGUGCAAGCGUUAUCCGGAUUCACUGGGUUUAAAGGGUGCGUAGGUGGGUAUGUAAGUCAGAGGUGAAAUCCCCGAGCUUAACUUGGGAACUGCCUUUGAUACUAUAUAUCUUGAAUGUCGUAGAGGUAAGCGGAAUAUGUCAUGUAGCGGUGAAAUGCUUAGAUAUGACAUAGAACACCAAUUGCGAAGGCAGCUUACUAUGCGAUUAUUGACACUGAGGCACGAAAGCGUGGGUAGCAAAC